CCUACGGGUGGCUGCAGUGGGGGAUAUUCCACAAUGGGGGAAACCCUGAUGCAGCGACGCCGCGUGGGUGAAGGAGUGCUUCGGCAUGUAAAGCCCUAGCGGCAGGGAAGAAGCAAGACGGUAGCUGACUAAGAAGCACCGGCGAACUACGUUCCAGCAGCCGCGGUAAUACGUAGGGGGCGAGCGUUAUCCGGAUUCACUGGGUGGAAAGGGAGCGUAGUCGGCCAUGCAAGCCAGGUGUGAAAGCCCGGGGCACAACCCCGGGACUGCCCUUGGAACUGUGCGUCUAGAGGGCGGGAGGGGAAGGCGGAAUUCCUGGUGUAGCGGUAAAAUGCGUAGAUAUAUGGAAGAACACCAGUGGCGAAGGCGGCCGCCUGGACUGUUGCUGACGCUGAGGCACGAAAGCGUGGGGAGCAAAUAGGAUUAGAUACCCCAGUAGUC
rnacentral:rRNA from 1 species